AGAGUUUGAUCCUGGCUCAGGAUGAACGCUGGCGGCGUGCCUAAUACAUGCAAGUCGAACGGAGUGCAGCAAUGUACUUAGUGGCGACCGGGUGCGUAACACGUAGCUGACCUGCCCCUCGACGGGGGACAACAGUUCGAAAGGACUGCUAAUACCGCAUACAUUCAGGAGGAUUAGAAGCUCUUGAAGAAACUUACGGGGUCGAGGGAGGGAGCUGCGGCCCAUCAGGUAGUUGGUAGGGUAACGGCCUACCAAGCCGACGACGGGUAGGGGACCUGAGAGGGUGGUCCCCCACACUGGGACUGACACACGGCCCAGACUCCUACGGGAGGCAGCAGUAAGGGAUAUUGCGCAAUGGGCGAAAGCCUGACGCAGCAACGCCGCGUGAAGGAUGAAGGCCUUCGGGUCGUAAACUUCUUUUGACGCUACGAGGAAGGACGGUAGGCGUCGAAUAAGCCACGGCUAACUACGUGCCAGCAGCCGCGGUAAAACGUAGGUGGCGAGCGUUAUCCGGAUUUACUGGGCGUAAAGCGUGUGCAGGCGGCUUACCAAGUGGUGUAUGAAAUAUCCAGGCUCAACCUGGAGGGGUUAUGCCAGACUGGUGAGCUAGAGUGCGAGAGAGGGGCGUGGAAUUCCGGGUGUAGUGGUGAAAUGCGUAGAGAUCCGGAGGAACCCCAGAGGCGAAGGCGGCGCCCUGGCUCGACACUGACGCUCAGACACGACAGCAUGGGGAGCGAACGGGAUUAGAAACCCCGGUAGUCCAUGCCGUAAACGAUGCCAACUAGGCGCUGGGGGACUCAACCCCCUCGGUGCCGCAGCAAACGCGAUAAGUUGGCCGCCUGGGGAGUACGGUCGCAAGGCUAAAACUCAAAGGAAUUGACGGGGGCCCGCAUAAGCAGCGGAGCGUGUGGUUUAAUUCGAGGCUACACGAAGAACCUUACCUGGGGUUGACAUACAGCUAGUACUGAGGUGAAAGCCGAGGGACCGCAAGGAGGCUGUACAGGUGCUGCAUGGCUGUCGUCAGCUCGUGCCGUGAGGUGUUAGGUUAAGUCCUGUAACGAGCGCAACCCCCGGGUCUAGUUACACGGUGUCUAGACCGACUGCCCGUGACAAGCGGGAGGAAGGUGGGGACGACGUCAAGUCAGCAUGGCCUUUAUCUCCAGGGCUACACACACGCUACAAUGGCCGGUACAAUGGGUCGCCAAGUGGUAACACGGAGCCAAUCCAGACAAAGCCGGUCACAGUUCGGAUUGUGGGCUGCAACCCGCCCACAUGAAGUCGGAGUUGCUAGUAACCGCAGGUCAGCUAUACUGCGGUGAAUACGUUCCCGGGCCCUGUACACACCGCCCGUCACGUCAUGGGAGCUGGUCGAGCCUGAAGCCAGUGGGCUAACCGCAAGGAGGCAACUGUCCAAGGCAGGGUCGGUGACUGGGACGAAGUCGUAACAAGGUAACC
rnacentral:rRNA from 1 species